rnacentral:rRNA from 1 species
UAGGGAAUCUUCGGCAAUGGACGGAAGUCUGACCGAGCAACGCCGCGUGAGUGAAGAAGGUUUUCGGAUCGUAAGGCUCUGUUGUAAGAGAAGAACGAGUGUGAGAGUGGAAAGUUCACACUGUGACGGUAUCUUACCAGAAAGGGACGGCUAACUACGUGCCAGCAGCCGCGGUAAUACGUAGGUCCCGAGCGUUGUCCGGAUUUAUUGGGCGUAAAGCGAGCGCAGGCGGUUAGAUAAGUCUGAAGUUAAAGGCUGUGGCUUAACCCUAGUAGGCUUUGGAAACUGUUUAACUUGAGUGCAAGAGGGGAGAGUGGAAUUCCAUGUGUAGCGGUGAAAUGCGUAGAUAUAUGGAGGAACACCGGUGGCGAAAGCGGCUCUCUGGCUUGUAACUGACGCUGAGGCUCGAAAGCGUGGGGAGCAAACAGGAUUAGAUACCCUGGUAGUCCACGCUGUAAACGAUGAGUGCUAGGUGUUAGACCCUUUCCGGGGUUUAGUGCCGUAGCUAACGCAUUAAGCACUCCGCCUGGGGAGUACGACCGCAAGGUUG